UUGGCCAGGCUGGUCUUGAACUCCUGAUCUCAGGUGAUCCGCCCGCCUCAGCCUCCCAAAGUGCUGGGAUUACAGACAUGAGCCACCACUCCUGACCAACAUCUUACAUCAUUUCUUGUCAUACUUAAUGACUGGGUAUUUCAGGACAGCCAGGAGGGGGCGCACAUCCGCCGAGAAACUGUGAGCAAGAGCGUCUGUGCUGAACCACGGAGCCACCAGAGGGCGCGCGAUCCCGCCCCAACGAACUUCCCGCGGAGGUGCCAGAAGCAGCGAGGAGCUUCAACUUCCUCAGGGCAGCACGAGGGUCGUGUUAACUUGGUGUUCUUCAUUGAGACGGGGUUUCACCGUGUUAGCCAGGAUGGUCUCGAUCUCCUGACCUCGCGAUCCGCCCGCCUCGGCCUCCCAAAGUGCUGGGAUUACAGGCGUGAGCCACCGCGCCCGGCC